GUAUUGCCGUCAAAAACAUUUCGCACCUCUCCUUCUUCCCUCUCCAUGAUAAUUGACUGGUUCAAGCAUCAAUCAUCCUCAUCAUAAAGUUGAGAGAGCAGCGUCUUCUCCAGAUUGUAAAGAUCUUUGCCAAGUAUGUCCCUCCUAUCAACCCAGUUGGCCGCAGCGCGUACGGGAUUGUUUGACUCUGAGACAAAAGAAGAGGUUGCAAUCAAGAAGAUUGGGAAUGCAUUUGACAAUAGGAUCGAUGCCAAGAGGACGCUCCGAGAGAUAAAGCUCCUUUCCCAUAUGAUAU